rnacentral:rRNA from 1 species
CCUACGGGUGGCAGCAGUGAGGAAUAUUGGUCAAUGGGCGGGAGCCUGAACCAGCCAAGCCGCGUGAGGGAAGAAGGUACAGCGUAUUGUAAACCUCUUUUGCCAGGGAACAAAGGCGGGGACUAGUCCCCGGAUGAGGGUACCUGAAGAAAAAGCAUCGGCUAACUCCGUGCCAGCAGCCGCGGUAAUACGGAGGAUGCGAGCGUUAUCCGGAUUUAUUGGGUUUAAAGGGUGCGCAGGCGGCCUGUUAAGUCAGCGGUAAAAGCCCGGGGCUCAACCCCGGCGAGCCGUUGAAACUGGCGGGCUGGAGUUGGAGAGAAGUACGCGGAAUGCGCGGUGUAGCGGUGAAAUGCUUAGAUAUCGCGCAGAACCCCGAUUGCGAAGGCAGCGUGCCGGCUCCACACUGACGCUGAGGCACGAAAGCGUGGGUAUCGAACAGGAUUAGAUACCCCGGUAGUC